rnacentral:rRNA from 1 species
GCUAUUGUUGUGACCAUACCUGUCAAUGUCUGAUCUCAUCGGAAUCUCAGCAGCCAAGCAGGGCCGGGCCUGAUUAGCACUUAGAUGGGAAGCUGCUGGCAAUACCAGCU